rnacentral:rRNA from 1 species
CGGACGGGUGAGUAACGCGUGAGAAUCUGCCAUCAGGUCUGGGACAACCACUGGAAACGGUGGCUAAUACCGGAUGUGCCGAAAGGUGAAAGGUUAACUGCCUGUUGAUGAGCUCGCGUCUGAUUAGCUAGUUGGUGUGGUAAGAGCGCACCAAGGCGACGAUCAGUAGCUGGUCUGAGAGGACGAUCAGCCACACUGGGACUGAGACACGGCCCAGACUCCUACGGGAGGCAGCAGUGGGGAAUUUUCCGCAAUGGGCGAAAGCCUGACGGAGCAAUACCGCGUGAGGGAGGAAGGCUCUUGGGUCGUAAACCUCUUUUCUCAGGGAAGAAAAAAAUGACGGUACCUGAGGAAUAAGCAUCGGCUAACUCCGUGCCAGCAGCCGCGGUAAUACGGAGGAUGCAAGCGUUAUCCGGAAUGAUUGGGCGUAAAGCGUCCGCAGGUGGCGAUGUAAGUCUGCUGUUAAAGAGUCUAGCUCAACUAGAUAAAAGCAGUGGAAACUACAUACGCUAGAGUGCGUUCGGGGCAGAGGGAAUUCCUGGUGUAGCGGUGAAAUGCGUAGAGAUCAGGAAGAACACCGGUGGCGAAGGCGCUCUGCUAGGCCGCAACUGACACUGAGGGACGAAAGCUAGGGGAGCGAAUGGGAUUAGAUACCCCAGUAGUC